GUCCAUAACAUCAGAGGUUAGACCAUCUUUUUAAAUAUUUUAUAUGUUUGAACACAAGUCGUAUGGGUUUUUGAAACAAACAGUGUAAGAUAUGAACAAUUCAGUGGUUGUUUUGUUUCCAUUGUUAUGUGUACUGAUCAGGUUUUAUUAAACUAUUCAAUGUUUUAAAUCUAAAUGAGAGUUUAUGAUCUUAGCAGCGUUUGUUUGUCUGACUCAAGUGUGGGCCCUUCCAGCGGCAUAUCUCAAAAUAGGCUCCAAGCGUGAGCGUGUUAGGAUAUCUGCUUGAUAUAGAUUUUUUACUUUUUUUUUCAUUUUGUAGCUAUUUUUAACACUAGUUGACUGCGGUAUUAUAGGCCUACUUACACAGUAUUUAAACCGCAAUUUUUAUUACAAAAACAUAUUUCUUUAAACUUAGCAGAAUAAAGGCGUUUGAUAGUAAAUGUAGAUGGUGCGACAAGGCACAGUUUGUAAUAUCAGAUUAAUUUGUUAAUUAUUAAUUUGUUGCUAUCAACUCGCAACUACAUUCGAAUAUAAAGAUUAUAUAUUACUUUAGACAGGCUUGAAUAUUAUAUGAAUUUUUUUUCUUUAAUUUCAGAAUUUUGUGUUGUAUGAUCCACAACUGGAUAGUACUUUCUCUACCACUUCAGAGGACAUUGAUAUGCUGUACAAUCCAGACAGCAUGAUAAACCUGCCUGCCACGGUUGGAAUUUCAAGGCCUGCGGAAUGUAGCAUGUCAUCAUCUACAUCAACUAUCUUAUUGCCACCCACCAACAACGUCACUGCUGCAGCCACUGAAGAAAGCGAUGACCAAACACCCACUGUUGAGGAGCACCAUCAGACUUACAAUUCUACCUACAG